GAAGGGUUUGUUCACUUCUUGUCACUGUAUACGUUAUUCCCGCUGAACCGAACCCGUCGCUUCUUUCCUUCAAUUCUCUCAGGCUACUUCUUAGGGAAUAACAAUAACAAGAGAAAACAAUGGGGAAGAAGAGAAAACACAGUGAGACGGACGUGUUGGCACCGCCUAAGAAGGAUAGGAGUGCUGAGGAGAGACCUAAAAGGACACUAUUGGGUUGGAAAGACAAGAGUGAAGAUGUGAAGAAAGAAAGUGAUUCCGCAGGUUUCAGGAACAGAGAGAAGGUCCUGGUGACUUGCUCUCGUCGCAUUAAUUUCAGGUACCGGCAUUUGAUGUUGAAUAUGGUGUCGCUCUUGCCCCACUGUAAGAAGGAUAACAAGGUUGAGUCGAAGGCUAGUAAGGGCGCCACUUUGAACGAGCUGGUCGAGCUGAAAGGUUGCUCUUCCUGCCUUUUUUUCGAGUGCAGGAAGCAUCAAGAUCUUUAUCUAUGGAUGGCAAAAUGCCCCAACGGGCCAUCUGUCAAAUUUUUAGUUAAUGCUGUGCACACAAUGGGGGAAUUGAAGCUUACUGGGAAUCAUCUAAAUGGGUCUCGUCCUAUUUUGACAUUCUCGGACAAUUUUGACAAAGAUGCUCAUUGGAAAAUUUUGAAAGAGAUGAUAAUUCAGAUAUUUGGAAUACCAAAGGAACACAGGAAAUCUAAGCCUUAUCAUGAUCAUGUGUUUGUUUUCUCCAUUGUUGAUGACCACAUAUGGUUCCGGAAUUACCAGGGCAAAAAAAAGUCUCUCCAAGGCAAGGCCCUUCGGACCCACCCCUGCAAAGUGAACUCUGAUCCUGUGCACCGCACCCUUGAAAGUUUCCCUACAUGGAACUGGUUAAAUCGCUGGCUUUUCACCAUGGGGUGUGGCCCCAAAUGAUUGUUUGCACCCAUGAGAUGUUGAACCUUGGAUCUUGAAGGGAGUGAUAUCCCAAGACCAAGGCCUUCACCACUUGGGCCAACCCCUUGGGGUUAGGGCAGAAACUUCUUAUGCAGAGAACAAAUAUCUGUUCCUCAUAAUGAAGCAGAUAAAGUGCCCCGAGGUGGCCUUGAGAAUAUGACCCUUAUUGAGGUUGGUCCACGGUUCUGCUUGAACCCAAUCAAGGUAUUCAGUGGCAGCUUUGGAGGACCUACUCUAUACGAGAAUCCAUUUUACAUAUCACCAAAUCAGAUUCGAGCGUUGGAAAAAAGGAAAAAGGCUGGGAAGUAUGCAAAGAAAGUCAAAGCAAAGACAAGGAGAAAGACGCACGAGCUAUCUAACCCAUUGGAGCCUGACGAGUUUGCAGAUAUGUGGAAAGAAUAAUUAAUACAUUUGAAGACCUCAUCCUUUCUGGUAAAACACGUAGCAGAAUUUCCUCUUCACCUUGCAUCCUCCUCUAAACGGCAGAUUUUACAAAAUGAUCCUGCCUUAUCUGGUGUUUGAUAUUGCUCCCCAGUUGAUUAGCUUAAGCGUUCAAGUUGGCUUGUCCAGAUUUUCUAUAUUUUAUUUGCUUCUUUGUUAUGAUUUAUCUUUCUCUUAUUGUGUUGCAAAAUAAAUAUCUAGCUAUUAUUUCAUAUCAUUCUUUAUAGAUUUAAAAUCCCUUUCGUUCGUGUAUUUCCAUGACAAAUAUCUAGCUAUUAUUGCUGUCAGAGACCUCUACAAAUGAUAUUAACAUCCAGAUCUUGCUAUG